rnacentral:rRNA from 1 species
GACGAACGCUGGCGGCGUGCUUAACACAUGCAAGUCGAACGAAGAGCGACGGAAGCUUGCUUCUAUCAAUCUUAGUGGCGAACGGGUGAGUAACGCGUAAUCAACCUGCCCUUCAGAGGGGGACAACAGUUGGAAACGACUGCUAAUACCGCAUACGAUCUAACCUCGGCAUCGAGGAUAGAUGAAAGGUGGCCUCUACAUGUAAGCUAUCACUGAAGGAGGGGAUUGCGUCUGAUUAGCUAGUUGGAGGGGUAACGGCCCACCAAGGCGAUGAUCAGUAGCCGUUCUGGGAGGAGGAACGGCCAACUGGGGAUUGAGACACGGCCAAAACUCCUCGGGGGGGAGGCAGUGGGGAAUCUUCCGAAAUGGAAGAAAGUCUGCGGGGGCAACGCGGCGUGGGUGAUGAGGGCCUUCGGGUUGUAAAGCUCUGUUACUGGGGAGGAAGGGCCUUCUUAGAAAUAGUGAGAAGGAUGGAGGGAACGGGAAAAAAAACCCACGGAUAACGACG